rnacentral:rRNA from 1 species
GGGUUGUGAGGUUAAGCGACUAAGCGUACACGGUGGAUGCCCUGGCAGUCAGAGGCGAUGAAGGACGUGCUAAUCUGCGAAAAGCGCCGGCGAGGUGAUAUGAACCCUUGACCCGGCGAUGUCCGAAUGGGGAAACCCAGUGUGUUCCGACACACUAUCGUUAACUGAAUACAUAGGUUAACGAGGCGAACCGGGGGAACUGAAACAUCUAAGUA